rnacentral:rRNA from 1 species
UACGUAGGGUGCGAGCGUUGUCCUGAAUUACUGGGCGUAAAGAGCUCGUAGGUGGUUUGUCGCGUCGUCUGUGAAAUUCCGGGGCUUAACCUCGGGCGUGCAGGCGAUACGGGCAAUACUUGAGUGCUGUAGGGGAGACUGGAAUUCCUGGUGUAGCGGUGAAAUGCGCAGAUAUCAGGAGGAACACCAAUGGCGAAGGCAGGUCUCUGGGCAGUUACUGACGCUGAGGAGCGAAAGCAUGGGUAGCGAACAGGAUUAGA